rnacentral:rRNA from 1 species
GGGAAACCAAAAAUCCCCAAAAACACAAAGUUUUGGUCCUAAACUUGCUGCUAUUUUUGAUCAAAAUUAUACAUGCAAGCAUCUGCACACCAGUGAGAAUGCCCUAACUUACACUUAAAAGGAGCAGGUAUCAGGCACGACCUGUCAGCCCAAAACACCUUGCUAUGCCACACCCACAUGGGUACUCAGCAGUAAUUGAAAUUAAGCAAUGAGUAAAAGCCACAUUAAGCUCGACUUAGUUAUGAUCACCAGGGCCGGUUAACCUCGUGCCAGCCACCGCGGUUAUACGAAGGGCCCAAAACAGCAGACACCGGCGUAAAUUGUGACUAGAGACACCACCUUAAACAAGAAGAAAUAAACUACACCCUAACCGUAAAACAUAGGCCAAAUGAAGCCCCCCACUCUUCUUACACAAGGUUGCUUGAACCCACGAAAACUAAGAAACAAACUAGGAUUAGACACCCUACUAUGCUUAGAUGUAAACAAGACACUACACAACUAAAGUGUCCGCCAGAGAAUUACAAGCGAAAAGCUUAAAACUCAAAGGACUUGGCGGUGCUCCGUACUCAACUUAGAGGAGCCUGUCCUAUAAUCGAUACUCCACGAUAAACCCUACCAUCUUUUGCCAACCCAGCCUAUAUACCGCCGGUCGAAAACUUUACC